GCUUGAUGCGCAAAUAUGCAAAUUAUUGUUCUUGCAUCUCCGAUGGAGAUGCAUAUUUAUUAUACUGACUAAGCAUCUCAGUUUCAUAAUUUUAGAGUUAAAAAACGCUUCCUGUAAUUUGUUAAGAUCAUUAAAAUUGUAUAUACAAAACUUAGUGUCUCAUCAAAUUGCUUUGAAUUGAAAACAUUGUGGCAGAUAAUAAAACAAAGAUUUAUCUUGUGCUUUCAAUAUUCAAGCGAUUCCCCAUAGUUGAUACCUUACCACCAAUUUAAAAAGCGUCGAUCCGGAAUUGGUGUUUUGUGAAGUAUCAAAUUUUUUGCCCAUCUAUUCGGAACGCUAACCGGCGUAGACUAGGUCUACAUUGCACGGGGAACAGGCUAAACGGAAUAAUGAAAUUUCAACUGGGCUGAACGGAAUCAAAGAAUUCAUCACAUGUUGGUAAAGUAAAAAUUUAGGACUAUAUCAGGUGUUUCUCGGUUAUGCUAUACGUUUUUUCAAUAAACGUUUUGUGAUGUUCUAAUAACAAUUAGCUGCACUUAAUCACAGUUUGAAGUCCCAAACUUUGAUGCUUAGAAGUAACUGCGCAUCCUUAGUUAUCCGAUGAACUAAAAAUGAGCAACCAUUGUUAAUUUUCGCCUUAUCUAGAUGAUUUAGAAAAUUUUAAGGACGCAAUAUAGUCAAAAAAGAAAUCUAAAAAUAACCAGAAAGAAUUAAGUUCUUAGUAUGUGCUAAAAUUUCUAGCUUUUGCAUUAUCGCAAUAUCAUCCUUGUUUCUUCUCUGCGAUGAAAAUUUUAAGCGAAUUUCACGGCCAACUUUCAAUGGGUAUUGAAUCUUCACAUUCGACUUGAGAUAAAAUCAAAGAGUGCUUUCAAAUAGAUUGCAGGUUUGCCUCUCUCAAAUUCAAUGUGGUUAUUUCUACUCUUGUAAAUUGGUAGUUAUUGGAAUCCAACUAGCUCCUUCGGAUGCGCAAAAUCUAUUAUGCUGUUGAAUUGAAAUACUAUUCUAGCUGUAUAAAAAUCCAAAGUGAAUCGCUUUCAAGAGAAAGUGAGGAAUCCUUUGUAGAGUAAUGAAUAAGAAGAAGGAAAUUUUACCCUCGGUCGA